UACGUAGGGGGCAAGCGUUGUCCGGAUUUAUUGGGCGUAAAGAGCGUGUAGGCGGCCAUACAGGUCAGCUGUGAAAACUCGAGGCUCAACCUCGAGACGUCGGUUGAAACCGUUUGGCUAGAGUCCGGAAGAGGAGAGUGGAAUUCCCGGUGUAGCAGUGAAAUGCGUAGAUAUCGUAAGGAAGACCAGUGGCGAAGGCGG
rnacentral:rRNA from 1 species